rnacentral:rRNA from 1 species
UACAGAGGGUGCGAGCGUUGUCCGGAAUCACUGGGCGUAAAGGGCGCGUAGGCGGUCUCUUAAGCGUGUGGUGAAAGCCCGGGGCUCAACUCCGGGUCGGCCGUGCGAACUGGGGGACUGGAGCUUGUCAGAGGCAGGCGGAACUCCGGGUGUAGCGGUGGAAUGCGUAGAGAUCCGGAAGAACACCGGUGGCGAAGGCGGCCUGCUGGGACAGUGCUGACGCUGAGGCGCGACAGCGUGGGGAGCAAACAGG